UAGGGAAUCUCCCACAAUGGGCGAAAGCCUGAUGGAGCAACGCCGCGUGUGUGAUGAAGGGUUUCGGCUCGUAAAACACUGUUGUAAGAGAAGAAUGACAUUGAGAGUAACUGUUCAAUGUGUGACGGUAUCUUACCAGAAAGGAACGGCUAAAUACGUGCCCAG
rnacentral:rRNA from 1 species